GCAGCGAGCGCAGAGACGGCUG
rnacentral:miRNA from 1 species